rnacentral:tRNA from 1 species
GGAGGGGUGGCCGAGUGGUUAAAGGCACCAGACUGUAAAUCUGGCGGCGUCACGCCUACGUAGGUUCGAAUCCUACCCCCUCCACCA